GUUGCUAAGUGUGUUCAUCUCAAAUCUAAAAGCCACUUUCAUAACAACAACUUUGCUAUUCCUUAGCAUUUUGUCUCUUUAGGCAGCUUAUUUCCCAGUCAAAGUUAUAAUUUUGUAUUCAUAAUACCAUAAUCAUUUCCAUGGUAACUUCCUGUGAAGUCACAGAGAAAACACUAUUGACUUCUCCUGAGGCUCUGAUUUCCCAGUUGAAAUCAUAUGUUGAUUUUAUUUUUUCCAAUGUAAGUCAAAGAUUUACUAUUAAAAAUCCUGGGGAUGAGGUCUUAACACAGAAAACCCAUCUGUCGUCGCUACAGAGGACUACUAUGAAGAAAGCGCCUGGCAUAAUCUUGGCACAUCGAAGGCAUUCAAAAAAUACCAGUCGUCUCUCUUCACUCCCUCUAACUCUAACUCAUUUUAACCUCAUUUAAACUUUGAGGAAAAAGAACUCAAGGGAAAGACAGAAGAGAGAAAAAAAGAAAAGAGAAAGCAGAAAUGUGGGUUUUGCUGCAAAGAAAUACCAAAAUUGUUUCCAAUCAGUCAAAGUGAAUCAUCUGUCUACCAACAUGCCUCAUUUUUCAUUGUCUAUAGCUUCCAGAGGCUGCCUGCAUCACUUGCCUUGGGGCCCCUUCCUCCAUCUUCAACAGGAGGUUGAGUUCCUCAUCACAUAACAUCACUCGGACCUUGUCUUCUGCCUCGCUAUUCCACUUCUAAAAGCCCCAGUGAUUACACUGGACUCAUCCAAAUAACCCAGGAUCAUCAUCUCCUCUCCAGGUCAGCUGAUUAGCAACCUUAACUCUUUGCCAUGUAAUAACACACGGCUCUGGGGAUUAGGAUGUAAACAUCUUGAGGGGAGGGAAAGGGAAUGACACAUUAGUCUGCCUACUGCAGCAUGGAAUCAUCCAUCAGUACACUUUCUAUUUUAUUUUUCAUACAGACUCACAGACAUAUACCACACCCAUACCCAAAAGUUUUUUAGAUUUCCCUGCCCUAAUUUGAUAAUUCUAGACUAAUUCUAAUGAAUACUUCCACAAGUGUCUCCUAUAAUUUUGUAAUGUUAGAAUUUUACUUUAAAAAAACAAAAAAAAUUCUGUUCUUCGAAAAACAAACAAACAAACAAACAAAUUCCAGAUGGUUCCAAGAGUGCAAACCUGAAAACAGCUUAACCUGAUUUAUUUUUUUAAAAAAAGGCAUGACAGUCUCACCAGGAAAGAGCUCUUUUAGUUUACAGGGUUUGAUACGUAAUAUAAUCAUACUUAAGAGUUUUGUUUUGCUUUUUGUUUUCUGUUUUGAGACAGGAUCUUGUUCUGCGGCCCAGGCUGGAGUGCAGUGGCUUGUGGAAAACUGAACUCAUCUUUAUAAUUCCUUUUUUAUUGAGACUUACCUAGAAUAAUUAACAUUUGAAUUUAAUUAAAAACAGUUCUUUUGUCAAACUUAACCCAAUUCUCCAAUACUUUUGUAGGUCACCUUCUUUAAUAACAAUCAGAGGAAGAAUUUUCUGACUCUUCAAAACAGCAAUCUAAAUAUAAUACUUUAUUGUACAACACAUGAUGUCUUUUUUUUUGUGUCCCAAAUUGUGUUCCUUAGAACACCUGGAAACAUAAAUUGGUAUACCACCCCCCCACCCAAAAAAAAAACCUAUUCGGUGGCCACAUACAUUUGGAAAAGGACGUAUACCAUGCCUCUCUUUUAGAGGGUCACAAUGCAUACUAAGUGUUAAAAGUCCUCUAACUUUGUUUAACAUCACUGUUUUCAGAACGUUUUCCUAACAUCCCUAUAAAUAACCUGGGCUGAGGCAAGAAAGUGAGAAGUGAAUACUAAUGUAGAGCAUAUCUCCACAGAGUAUUACUCAUGAGUAAGCCCCACAGCUUACUCAUCACAACUGGGAACAAAACCAGCCCCACUUUAUGCUCCUGAGAGUAUACGACGGAUGAAAGGCAUUUCAAAUAUCAAAUGUCAAAUCAAUGCCAAAUUGCAACUACAAUUAAAAUCUACUUGAAACAACACAAAUAUGAAAAGGCUCCUGCUGUCUCUAAUUGUAUUUACAUGAGUGGGUCCUUUAAAAAACAAUGCUUGGCCAG
rnacentral:lncRNA from 1 species